CACUCGUAAACUGAAAGUACUACAACACGAAUGCCGCUCUAAAAUCGAAGGGAAAGCGGUAUUAUCACCAUUGUGAAAAUAUCGAAGAGAUAGAAAGAAAUAAGAGAAGUGGCUCAGAAAUCAUCGAGCAAACAAAGGAGAAGAGAAAAAGGUUGAAAUUGCAUCUAACUUUGUUGUUCUUUUCAAAAGAAAUUGACACAUUAUAUUGUAAUGCAAGCUAUCUCAUAUGUGUAAACUAUA
rnacentral:lncRNA from 1 species